AUUGUUUCCGGGAUUGCAAUGAGAACAAUUUAAAAACCUUAUCGAGUACCAACUGGAGGGCAAGUUCUGGUGCCAGCAGCCGCGGUAAUUCCAGCUCCAGUAGCGUAUAUUAAAGUUGCUGCAGUUAAAAAGCUCGUAGUUGAAUUUCUGUUUGUAAGAGUCGAAGCUUUACAGCUAAGAUUUCUUCGAACAUCUGUUUGCAAGCAUACGUUCGGCCUUCACUGGUUGGCUAUGUAAGCAAGCGUUUUACCUUGAGAAAAUUAGAGUGUUCCAGGCAGGCUUCAGCCGGAAUACAUUAGCAUGGAAUAAUGGAAUAGGACUGGGGACUAUUUAUUGGUUUGUAGGCUCCAGUAAUGAUUAAUAGGAACAGUCGGGGGCAUUGGUACUUAACAGUCAGAGGUGAAAUUCUUGGAUUUGUUAAAGACUAACUAAUGCGAAAGCAUUUGCCAAGCAUGUUUUCAUUAAUCAAGAACGAAAGUUAGGGGAUCAAAGACGAUUAGAUACCGUCCUAGUCUUAACUGUAAACG
rnacentral:rRNA from 1 species